rnacentral:rRNA from 1 species
UAGGGAAUCUUCCGCAAUGGGCGAAAGCCUGACGGAGCAACGCCGUGUGAGUGAUGAAGGUCUUCGGAUCGUAAAACUCUGUUAUUAGGGAAGAACAAAUGUGUAAGUAACUAUGCACGUCUUGACGGUACCUAAUCAGAAAGCCACGGCUAACUACGUGCCAGCAGCCGCGGUAAUACGUAGGUGGCAAGCGUUAUCCGGAAUUAUUGGGCGUAAAGCGCGCGUAGGCGGUUUUUUAAGUCUGAUGUGAAAGCCCACGGCUCAACCGUGGAGGGUCAUUGGAAACUGGAAAACUUGAGUGCAGAAGAGGAAAGUGGAAUUCCAUGUGUAGCGGUGAAAUGCGCAGAGAUAUGGAGGAACACCAGUGGCGAAGGCGACUUUCUGGUCUGUAACUGACGCUGAUGUGCGAAAGCGUGGGGAUCAAACAGG